ensembl:lncRNA
AUUAAGGAAAAAAAGUCCCUAAUAGGAAUGCAGAACGCCAGCGGACGCCUAUUUUUAGUGCCUCUUGACAUUUUAUUUUCUUGUAAACAACCGAUGGCGUGUCAGGCAUUUAAAAUGUCCUUUUUGAAAACAGGAACAGAAAGGAAGAAAGAAAAGGGGAAAUAGAAAUAAACCGCGCACGUGGACAGAACGCCGUCGGCCAACAUAUUAUUUCCCGCUUUGUCUGACGCUCCGAGCCAGGCAGGUGGGCCUGUGGUUCCGUUACAACCUGUGUUCACGUUUCCCUGUGGAUCGAACGCCCGAGAUAACCUUGCAUCAGAUACAGGAAAACAAAAGCAGCUCUCACUAGAGAACCCUGGAGGCUGCUCAGGAAUCCGGGCCUUGCCGUGUGCUGGCCCUGAGGCGGCAGGAGACGGCCGGAGUCUGCCCCGCGGGCACCGCUGAGCGUAAAUCCUGUCAUCACAGGCGGGACCGGCGGCUGGGCCCACAGACGAGCGGGGCACGCCCGGCCGCGGUCGGACAGCCGCCUCCGGGCAGGUCCCACGGCAGCGCGCCCCCCGACUGGAAACAGCACGGCUAUGUCUCAGGAUCGGCUCCGGAGCCGCCGACGGAUCCCGAGGUGCUUGUGAAACCCCUGAACACGAGGGCCGGCACUGCGUUCCACGGACAGGAGUCAGAGGAGGAGGACAGAGACGCGAGCGUCCCUGGGCUCACGUUUCCGGAGCUGGUGAGUGCACAUGGAGUCGGUGCUUCCUGAAUCAAUGGAUGAACCAUGUCAGAGUAUCGGUUGCCUUUAAAUAGCUGGCAGUGUGGUGGCUCAGUUGGUAAAGAAUCUUCCUGCGAUGCAGGAAGACCUGAGUUCCAUCCCUGGAUCGGGAAGAUCCCCUGGAGAAUAGAGUGGCUGCCCACUGCAUUAUUAUUGCCUGGAGAAUCCCAUGGACAGAGGAGCCUGGUGGGCUACAGUCCAUAGGGUUGCAAGGAGUCAGACACGACCGAGUGGCUUUCACUACACUACUAUAUAUAGUGAACGUUGGAUGGCAUCACUGACUCAACGCACCCGAGUUUGAGCAAACUCUGGGAGAUGGUAAGGUCAGGGAAGCCUGGUGCGCUGCAGUCCACGGGGUUGCAAAGAGUCAGACACGACUGAUGGACUGAACACCACCACCACAUGUGCACACACACACACACACACACACAUGCGUGUGCGCGCACACACACACACACACACACACACACGUGUGCGUGCGCGUAUUUGUGCUGUGCAGGCAGUAGCGAACAGGAAAUCCAUAACUCGGCUUUCCCCGCUGGGUAGCAGAGGCUUUGCAUCUGAGGCGCACCACGGAGAGAUGUGUUAGUUGUCACGCCUCAAAAUGCAGUGGCGUGCGUUGUCCCUGUAAGACACGGAUUCCGGGAGGAGAGGAGAAACGUACCCUCCCCCGUGCCUUCUCCAGCCGAGGACUGAACCAGCUCUCGAGGAAAGCCUUUCUCGAGGAAAGCCGUGGGGACCAUCCCCGCCGCUCACUCUUCGGAAACCCCAGGCUGCUUAUCGCGGCGUCUUGAAAUAAUACACACGGAAGUGUCUCCACUCCAGAAUAAUGGGAUUUUGAAAGAGAACAUCCUCUCCACUUAGCUGAAUUUGGAUGUAAUGUGAUUUGUGAUCACCAAAGAAGAAAACAGGACCAGGGUAGCUAACUGUACUACGAGUGUGGAGAAAAGGUUUAAGUAGAAGUAUUUACAAUAGUUUUUUUCUGUGCAUU